AACGAACGCUGGCGGCAGGCCUAACACAUGCAAGUCGAACGAGAAGCCACCUUCGGGUGGUGGACAGUGGCAGACGGGUGAGUAACGCGUGGGAACGUGCCUUUCGGUUCGGGAUAACCCAGGGAAACUUGGGCUAAUACCGGAUACGCCCUCCGGGGGAAAGAUUCAUCGCCGAAAGAUCGGCCCGCGUCGGAUUAGCUAGUUGGUAGGGUAAUGGCCUACCGAGGCGACGAUCCGUAGCUGGGCUGAGAGGAUGACCAGCCACACUGGGACUGAGACACGGCCCAGACUGCUGCGGGAGGCAGCAGUGGGGAAUAGUGGACAAUGGGCGAAAGCCUGAUCCAGCCAUGCCGCGUGGGUGAAGAAGGCCUUAGGGUUGUAAACCCCUUUCAGCGGGGAAGAUAAUGACGGUACCCGCAGAAGAAGUCCCGGCUAACUCCGUGCCAGCCGCCGCAGUAAUAC
rnacentral:rRNA from 1 species